rnacentral:rRNA from 1 species
ACAGGUGCUGCAUGGCUGUCGUCAGCUCGUGUCGUGAGAUGUUGGGUUAAGUCCCGCAACGAGCGCAACCCUUGCCAUUAGUUGCUACGAAAGGGCACUCUAAUGGGACUGCCGGUGACAAACCGGAGGAAGGUGGGGAUGACGUCAAGUCCUCAUGGCCCUUAUAGGUGGGGCUACACACGCCAUACAAUGGCCGGUACAGAGGGUAGCCAACCCGCGAGGGGGAGCCAAUCCCACAAAGCCGGUCGUAGUCCGGAUCGCAGUCUGCAACUCGACUGCGUGAAGUCGGAAUCGCUAGUAAUCGCGGAUCAGCAUGUCGCGGUGAAUACGUUCCCGGGUCUU